UACGAAGGGGGCUAGCGUUGCUCGGAAUCACUGGGCGUAAAGGGCGCGUAGGCGGCCUUGUAAGUUGGGGGUGAAAGCCCGUGGCUCAACCACGGAAUUGCCUUCGAUACUGCUUGGCUUGAGUGUGGUAGAGGUUGGUGGAACUGCGAGUGUAGAGGUGAAAUUCGUAGAUAUUCGCAAGAACACCGGUGGCGAAGGCGGCCAACUGGACCAUCACUGACGCUGAGGCGCGAAAGCGUGGGGAG
rnacentral:rRNA from 1 species